rnacentral:tRNA from 1 species
GCUAGAGUGGCUCAGCGGCUACAGCACCUACCUUGUAAGUAGGCAAUCGUGGGUUCGAGUCCCACCUCUAGCACCA